UAUGUUGCAAGUAUUUUGAUAUUAUUCUUAAUAUUCCUAGAAGUACUUGCUCCGCAGCGCGUUCUGUGAUCUUAGCUAGGAAACACUGAAGGUUCAAACUGUUCCUCUGUUACAAAGCAAGUUUAUUAGUUAGCCUAAGGCACAAGAACUGGGCACCUACGCAAAGAGUAAUUGUCAGUAAUUGCAGUUGUCUCUGCCCUAAAGAGUUUUCACUCUAAAUGGAGCCAGGUCAGGGGAAAUUGGCAUAACAUACAUUCAAAUUGAAGGACGCAAUGAGGGAAGGGGCUAGUUCUACAGUUUUAAUUCUCAUUAAUUUCAUAUAUGUUCCUUUUCAAGACUGCAAUGCAUUAGUAACCUUUCUACUUCUCGCACUACCAUCUACUUGUGAAACUCUUACCAAGAAAUACAGUCUUGUUGUCACUGAAGGGUUUUGCAUAACCUGACUAUGUAUAUUGUCACUCUAUUCCUGCUAUUUCUGUUGAACACUUCACCUUACCCUAAUGUUUCUUCUUCAUGUACUCACCUGCAUGCCUGUCUCCUCAGACAUCCUUCAACCUUUGGAACAGUCUCUCUGCGAGCAAUUUCCCAAAUUGUAUUUACUGAUGCUGGGAAUCUCAGAGGUUAAAGGGUUUGCCAAAGAAGUACGAUGGGCACAAGAGAAGAAUGCCUCCCAACAACCUGAGACUUGCACGCAGACUGCAGGUAUCUUUUACAUUCUUCUCUGUUUGCAUCUGCUGCUAAGCAUGGGAAAUUACAGAAUUAGUCAGCUUC
rnacentral:lncRNA from 1 species